rnacentral:misc_RNA from 1 species
UCAAACUUGGUCAUUUAGAGGAAGUAAAAGUCGUAACAAGGUUUCCGUAGGUGAACCUGCGGAAGGAUCAUUGCAAAUCUGCGAGCAGUUGAGGUGGAAUUGAGUGGGGAAUCGAUGAGGAACCGCGAGGGGAAUCAAUGAACCGCGAGGGGAAUCGUCGAACCGCGAAAUUUCACAACACUGCUCAUAUAUGCACAGCGUGCUGGUCUUUGACUGCGCGCUGAUGUUUACGCUUGUUUGUUUGACAAAUCUUUGCAUCAAAAAUUCAAAACUUUUAACAACGGAUCUCUUGGCUCUUGCAUCGAUGAAGAACGCAGC